UGCAAAAGACAGGCUUAAUGGGACGACUCC
rnacentral:piRNA from 1 species